UCACAUGACCAAUCAAAUUCUGCCACAUCAUUUGUGUUAAAAAAAAUUUUAAUCAAUUUAAACAAGAUAAUAAUAGAGGGGGAAAAAAUAUUGUCGCAAAAUCCCACUACGGCACCCAUGAUCAUCAUUCGUCCACAUUUUUAUUUUUUUUUAAUAUUCCCACAUCUCUAAAGUUUGAAGACAAACGACAUCAAAACUCCCAAUGAAAGUAGAAUAUGAAAGGGCUAAGAUGGUUCAAGAAAGAGUGGGUAUGAUCCGGAUUAAAAGAGAAAGAAAGGAGGAGGAAAAAAAACGGAGAUGUGUACACGGUACAAUAGCUAAUAAGAGAAAUGAAUUUUGAUAAUAAGGAACUUCAAGUGUUGAAAAGAUGCAAAAUCGAUGAUGCCAUGGAAACUUUGAUCAAAUUCUAAGGCAAAUUAACAGAGGGAAUAUAUAGUAGGCACUCAAACAAUCAAAUUCUUCAGUGCUUUCAUUCUCUAAGGUAACAUUUUAAAAGAUUCUUUCUCGAAAAUAUAUAUCUAAUAAUGGUUGGAAAAUACUAUGAAAUUGGAGUUAAACUAAUUAUAGUUUGUCCGAAGUCAAAAAGAAAAUGUAUACUCAUCUCCUUCUGGUAAAUCAAAGUUAUUUUACAUGCAAUUAGAGUCUUUUUUUUCUUGGUCAAAGCAAUUAGAGUUAUUUAUAAUUGAAAUUUGGUUUUCUUUGCAAGCAAUUUUUUUUCCAUGCAAUAUAUGAUUCAUUGGAUUUAUAGAUAGUAUAAAUUAAAUAUAUAUAAUUUAAUGUUGUAAUACUAUACCUCCAUAUGUUAAUUAUUUAAAUAUUUGUCGAUGUUAACUUUUAAAAUUAUAAAGAUUUUUUUUAAAUAACAAAAAUUAUAUUAUCGAACAAUGAUUUAUAUUUACUACCUUAAACCAAUGAAA